AUUGAACGCUGGCGGCAGGCCUAGCACAUGCAAGUCGAACGGUAACAGGAAGCAGCUUGCUGCUUCGCUGACGAGUGGCGGACGGGUGAGUAAUGUCUGGGAAACUGCCUGAUGGAGGGGGAUAACUACUGGAAACGGUAGCUAAUACCGCAUAACGUCGCAAGACCAAAGAGGGGGACCUUAGGGCCUCUUGCCAUCGGAUGUGCCCAGAUGGGAUUAGCUAGUAGGUGGGGUAACGGCUCACCUAGGCGACGAUCCCUAGCUGGUCUGAGAGGAUGACCAGCCACACUGGAACUGAGACACGGUCCAGACUCCUACGGGAGGCAGCAGUGGGGAAUAUUGCACAAAGGGCGCAAGCCUGAUGCAGCCAUGCCGCGUGUAUGAAGAAGGCCUUCGGGUUGUAAAGUACUUUCAGCGGGGAGGAAGGGAGUAAAGUUAAUACCUUUGCUCAUUGACGUUACCCGCAGAAGAAGCACCGGCUAACUCCGUG
rnacentral:rRNA from 1 species